AAGGCUUCUCGGCCUUUUGGCUAAGAUCAAGUGUAGUAUCUGUUCUUAUCAUCUCAAGUAAAGUAGAGUCCUCUCUCUGCCCUGAAUUUCACUCCACUCUGGAUCCCCACUCCACUUCAGAAUGUAUCAAAACUUCAGUUUUUCUCCAGCACACAUUUUAUCAUUUGGUAACCUUGUGAACUCCUUGGUUUGCCAGACCUUCAAGAUGUUUAGAUUCAUG
ensembl:snRNA U2 U2 spliceosomal RNA